CCCGUACUUGGUGUUACUGCGAAGGGGGGACGGAGAAGGCUAUGUUGGCCGGGCGACGGUUGUCCCGGUUUAAGCGUGUAGGUGUGUGUUCCAGGUAAAUCCGGUUCACUUUAACACUGAGGCGUGACGACGAGGCACUACGGUGCUGAAGCAACAAAUGCCCUGCUUCCAGGAAAAGCCUCUAAGCAUCAGGUAACACGAAAUCGUACCCCAAACCGACACAGGUGGUCAGGUAGAGAAUACCAAGGCGCUUGAGAGAACUCGGGUGAAGGAACUAGGCAAAAUGGUGCCGUAACUUCGGGAGAAGGCACGCUGACACGUAGGUGA
rnacentral:rRNA from 2 species